GGAGAGAGCCUGUGGACCCCAGCAGCACCAGCAGGUCUGAUACCACUGAUGGGGGGGACUGCACCUUCACACCAGCCUCAGGAAAGAUGUGCCCCACUAGCUGCCCAAUGACUAUAGAAGCCCCUCUGUGGCCCUGAAUCCUCAGACACACCUCCAUGUUCUGCAAACUUAGGUUUGGCAGCGUGGGACUGCAG